CGGUUGUCUUCCUCGAUUCUAAAAAAGAACCAGAUCUGAACUUUUCUGCCUCCGGACUUCCCCAUAUUCCUUCUCUAUUCUUCACAAUGAUUUUUCUUAUUCCUCUCUUGUUUACCUUCAAAUACUGAAGGAUUCGGAGGGGGUGGACCUUCCGUGGGGUCGGAGGUCAAAGGUCGAUUAUUCAAGUUUUCCGGCAAUGCUCGGUGGCUGGCGGUGGGGUCGGCCGACCCCACGAGACCCCACCUGGGUCCGUCAGUGAUUAUAGUCCGAGUAGAAUGGAGAGUCAACCCGCACAGAGAAGCCUCUCGCUAAACCUCCGCCGCCGUUCCUCUCAACAGCCACCACGUCUUCAGAUGUUCAGGCCAAUCUGAUCAAAUUCUGGAUUGUUUAAUUGCAUAGCCAGUGAAAUAACCACACCAGCCGGUGAAUAUGGAUUACAAGACCUAUUAAUACACCAGCCUGUGAAAAGUCCAAACGAUUGAUGGGGAAACAGAUAAACAUAUUUCUGUUUGGAGAAAGCACAGAGACAGUGUUGUGCCACUUUUUCUUAUGCUAGCCUUUAUGCGCAAGGUCAAAUGAGCUCUUUGUGCUAAGCCAGGCCACUUAUCACAUUCACAACGAGUUUAUGAGGCCAGAAUCGGUGCACCCACCCAGAGCUCAAAUGCAUUUCCACUCCUCCCCCCCCCCCCGCUUAGUCAGGAGGUGGAUUUUCCAGGAUAUUUGCAUCUCUACUUCUGACCAAAUAAGUGGUAGCAUUUACUCAUCUGGCCUUGUUAGCAUUGGAAUUGGUGCUAUGCCCCAGACACGGAAAUUGGCUGACGAUAUAGAACCUGUUGGAUCCCAGAUUCCCAUACAAGUUCCUUCAUCUCACAUUUCAAUUGGCGAUGGUCCACAAACGCUGAAAACGACAUCAUUUCUUCAGUCUCUCAUGCUUUGGCCAGCUACUUAUGGAACCUUCCAGUUAUGCAAAAGAACCUGGAAAUGCUGAUCCUACUAAUGCAGCUCUGUUUUCUGAGCAUCCUGGGACAAAAGCCACUUAUAACCUUUGGUGAUGCAUUAGAUAUGUACCAUACCAUCUCAGAGAAGGAGUUGAGGAUGAGCUAACUUCUAAAGGGGUUAUUAGUGUAGACUUCAUUUUUCUCAAGGGUUGAUCUGCAAACUUAGUUGUUGCUUACUAACUUCUGGAGUCCUAGUUUUCCCAUGCUUCAAAUAAGUGAUAACAGUGUUCUUUGUUGUCCGAUUUCUUGAGCUAAGGAGAGAGAACUAUUCCGGUUUUGAAAAAUUAAUUGAAAAAGUCAUAGGGCCGAUCGACUGAAUGAGAGCUUUAUGAGUUGCAAUCUUGUUGAUAUUGGUGCAUAAAAAUGAUUUAGGCAAUAGGAAUAAAAGCCUCAUAUCCAAAUUAUCACAUGCCUGACCCUGCUUAAAACCCCUAGUGAGCCAGUUUGAGCCCAAAAGCCCAAUUUCUUUGUUGAAAAUUUUAAAGUCACUAUAUCAGCUUACCUAUUAUAUCCAUUUGUUGGCCUAUAUUUUCUUCCCUAGUCACCAAAAUUAAAGUGCUAGCACAUCCUUGGGAGGGUAUUAUGGUGGCAAGAUAAAGAUGGAAGUUUUGGACCAUUCAUUGGUGGUAUUCAUUUGUACUGAGAUACAAGGUGAGUGAAAAGCUGUAACUUCAAACGAAAAUAGAAUCAAAAGGCAGCCUUUCGUGUUUAGAAAAAAGCCAAGGCUAGAAAAAAAAAGGAAAAAGGCAGCCUUUCAUGAGUAAAAAAAAAGACAAGGCUAGAAAAA